CAGCUAGUUGGUAGGGUAAGAGCCUACCAAGGCAGAGAUCGGUAGCCGGCCUGAGAGGGCACACGGCCACACUGGCACUGAAACACGGGCCAGACUCCUACGGGAGGCAGCAGUGGGGAAUCUUGCACAAUGGGGGAAACCCUGAUGCAGCGACGCCGCGUGAGCGAUGAAGCCCUUCGGGGUGUAAAGCUCUUUCGUCAGGGAAGAUAGUGACGGUACCUGGAGGAGCAGCUGCGGCUAACUACGUGCCAGCAGCCGCGGUAAUACGUAGGCAGCAAGCGUUGUUCGGAGUUACUGGGCGUAAAGGGUGUGUAGGCGGUUCUUUAAGUUUGCUGUGAAAUCUCCCGGCUUAACCGGGAGGGUGCGGUGAAUACUGAGGGACUAGAGUACGGGAGAGGAAAGUGGAAUUCCUGGUGUAGCGGUGAAAUGCGUAGAUAUCAGGAGGAACACCGGUGGUGUAGACGGCUUUCUGGACCGUAACUGACGCUGAGACACGAAAGCGUGGGUAGCAAACAGGAUUAGAUACCCUGGUAGUCCACGCCCUAAACGAUGCAUAUUUGGUGUGGGGCA
rnacentral:rRNA from 1 species